rnacentral:rRNA from 1 species
CCUACGGGUGGCUGCAGUGGGGAAUAUUGGACAAUGGGCGAAAGCCUGAUCCAGCCAUGCCGCGUGUGUGAAGAAGGCCUUCGGGUUGUAAAGCACUUUCAGUGGGGAAGAAAGCCUUGGGGCUAAUACCCUCGAGGAAGGACAUCACCCACAGAAGAAGCACCGGCUAACUCCGUGCCAGCAGCCGCGGUAAUACGGAGGGUGCGAGCGUUAAUCGGAAUUACUGGGCGUAAAGCGCGCGUAGGCGGUCUGAUAAGCCGGUUGUGAAAGCCCCGGGCUCAACCUGGGAACGGCAUCCGGAACUGUCAGGCUAGAAUGCAGGAGAGGAAGGUAGAAUUCCCGGUGUAGCGGUGAAAUGCGUAGAGAUCGGGAGGAAUACCAGUGGCGAAGGCGGCCUUCUGGACUGACACUGACGCUGAGGUGCGAAAGCGUGGGUAGCAAACAGGAUUAGAUACCCCGGUAGUC